GAUGAACGCUAGCUACAGGCUUAACACAUGCAAGUCGAGGGGUAGCAGGGUAGCAAUACCGCUGACGACCGGCGCACGGGUGAGUAACACGUAUCCAACCUUCCCAUAACUCGGGGAUAGCCUUUCGAAAGAAAGAUUAAUACCCGAUAGUACUUUAUCAAGGCAUCUUCUUAAAGUUAAAGAUUUAUUGGUUAUGGAUGGGGAUGCGUUCCAUUAGAUAGUUGGUGAGGUAACGGCUCACCAAGUCUUCGAUGGAUAGGGGUUCUGAGAGGAAGGUCCCCCACAUUGGUACUGAGACACGGACCAAACUCCUACGGGAGGCAGCAGUGAGGAAUAUUGGUCAAUGGGCGAGAGCCUGAACCAGCCAAGUAGCGUGAAGGAUGAAGGUCCUAUGGAUUGUAAACUUCUUUUAUAGUAGAAUAAAGUGAGCCACGUGUGGUUUUUGUAUGUAUACUAUGAAUAAGGAUCGGCUAACUCCGUGCCAGCAGCCGACGGUAAAACGUCUA
rnacentral:rRNA from 1 species